rnacentral:lncRNA from 1 species
GGUCGCAAAUUGGGGGAAUUCGUGCCUAUUCGACAUUUCACGAGUUAUGAAAGUACAAGAAAGGAUACUAAAUCUCGUCGUUAAUUGAAUUCAGAAUAGAAAGAUUCAGAAUAAACAAAGAAAUACCCAAUAUCCUGUUGAUAUUCCUUUUUAUUUCUCAUCAAACGAAUGGCAUAUUCCUCUCCUAGCUAUUCUUAGCAUGAUAUUGGGGAAUCUCCUUGCUAUUACUCAAACAAGCAUGAAAUGUAUGCUUGCAUAUUCGUCUAUAGGGCAAAUCGGAUAUGUAAUUAUUGGAAUAAUUGUUGGAGACUCAAAUGAUGGAUAUGCAAGCAUGAUAACUUAUAUGUUGUUCUAUAUCUCCAUGAAUCUAGGAACUUUUGCUUGCAUUGUAUUAUUUAGUCUACGUAUCGGAACUGAUAACAUUUGAGAUUAUGCAGGAUUAUACAUGAAAGAUCCUAGCAGCAUCAUUAUCCCUUGCUACUUACGCAAGGCGACGAUGUGGAACCGUCAAACGGUAAAAAAAUGGUAUUUUACAUACAUGCGUAAUGUGUUUAUGACAAUAUAUAUAGCACAAUAGUUCAUGUACAUUAAUUAGUGCAGGCAGCCUAACCAUCACACGCACUAUCCUGAGGAACAGCCCGUUCUACCAACUACUGAGGAUUCAGUACCUCAAGUCGCUCAACUAAUCACUGUUGAGCACCAAAACUGCCGAGCGGACGGUCCGACCCUAAGGCUAGACCGUCUGCAGUUCGGAUAGUCCGCGCUGGUGGCGCGGGCAGUUUGCACGCACGUAGAAUCAGUUAGCAUUCUGAGUUUUUUGGAAAUUGUUAGCUAAAUCUGCGGGAUUAACUCGGGAAUAGCUUGUAACGGAUCCAGGCCUCCACUUUAUAUAUAUGGAGGGCUAUGACCGAUUGGAACACCAACAAUCAAUCAAACAAUUAAUAUACAUCUAGUUCUUUACAUUUUUGCUCUAGGAGUAGACAGUAACUUAGAUUCCUCUCUCUAAAUCUCCACCUCUCUCUGGUUCUACGUUGAUUAGAUGUGUCUUUGAUGGCCUACUGAUCCCAAGACAAAGCCUAUGAUCUCUCCUCCCCGAUGGAGUCCCUCCCGGGAGCGAGAUUCAGGCACCGUUGGCGAACUCCGCCGCCCCUGUGAACGCGUGGACUGUUUGGCCACCAGGCGCGGACCGUCCAACUCGUCAGGCAGGAACCCAGCCCCUGCGCCAAGUCGCGGACCGUCCGACCCCUGGACACAGACCGUCUGCGCCUCCACAGAGAGCACCGCUACCGAUUCUCAUCGUAGUGAUUGGCGCCCGGAUCGGCGCCAACAUAGUUUUUGGCGACUCCGUUGGGGGACUUCGCGUGCAGACUUAUCAGAUCGGCAUUCAAUGGCCGGUUCAAAAGAUAGCUCUGACAUUUCCACCAGUAAUAUCAUAGAGCCGACUUAGGAAACCUUGUCGGCUGAAGAACAACUCGAGUUCGAGGAGCACCAGGAGCAGCUGAUCAAGGAAGCAAAGGCGAAGUUCCUGGCCAACUUCAAAGUAAAGGAACAACAAGGUCAUUCGCAACGAGCGACUGAUCUGGCGUCGCGCUUCGACCCACUGCAGCUACCCCCAAGGUAAGUGACACAAACGAAUUCCAAUCUCUUAAAGCUUACAUAGACGAGCAGCGAGACCAAAUGCAACAGAUCAUAGGGGGUAUGCAAACUGUUUUUAAAAGGCUAGUACGUGCUUUUGAUAAAUCUAUCGUCGCAAAUUUUUCCUCGCACGAGGUUAAAUUGGGGGGAAACAUGCGUGAUUCAUCGGCUACAGGUUGUCAUGAUCAAAUACAACCCCUUUAUGGGAUGCCGAUAAACACGUGCCCUGGUCAACCACAUUCAUGACUGUGUUUGAUCGCUUGACUAGCAAAUGUGCAUGGUUGGAAAGGGAAUCAAGCGGAUGAGUUGAAGAACCAGUCCAAGCAACUUCUUGGUAUUGUCGCGUAGGAUCCAACUGACCUCAAAAUCCAUCAGUUACUAACUUCAAAAUCAAAUGUUCCCUUUGGGAAUGCUUCUUGACUUAGAGUUUUGGUUCCUGCGGGUUUGCCCCUACCACCACCAUGCUCACCAGGAGUUUCUGAAGCAUGAGGGUAUGGAUCCUCAAGAAGCAGUUCAUGCAGCUUAAAACAAACAAUUAUGCUCACGUAAGUUUAGAUGGAAAAUCUCAACAUUCAUCGAGUAAAUUCGAAAUAUACGCAUAUGAUUCUUAGUGUCUCUUGAACUUUAUAGAUUCACCAUGUCAGUGGGCUCCAAAAGGAUUGGCAGGAGAAGAAGAGCAAAGCUGAUCAGUUGUGAUUAAGAACCCCAUUCUACAACACCAUGUAAGGUGUUCACACAAUCUUGCCUGAUGUGAAUUUAUUGGAGUGAUAUCUCAACAAACAAAUUAAUUGUUAAUUUGUGUUAUGAUUUUGUGUGUCUCUUCACAACAGAUGAAAAAGCGCUACGAACUGGACCUCAGACAGAGGGCGGGAAGGAUGGGGUACAAGGUGCAAACAUCGGUCAAGAAUUUUCAGGUGACUUUGGAGUUAACAUUACAUUUGUGUUGCUUAUAUGCAUCAGAUAACAUAACAAUUAUCUAAUUUAAAUAAGGUCUACUUUUGUGAUAUAUAUAGAAAUCGUAAUGCACGAGCUCCAUGGAACAAUAUGCUACUGCGGAAACAUAGAAGAAUUGCAAUCUUAGAUCAAAACACUAUGUAUGGGAUCAUAUGAACUGCCUAAAUAAGAAUUCUUCGGCGUCGAAUAACCUGAGUACUAACUACAUCAAACAAUUUGUGUUGGGGGCCUUCGGCUUCCGAAGGUCCUCAAAAACAUGAUUUAACGAUGUUUCUGGAGUAUAAUGUGUGAACAGGUAUCUUCGGACUCGAAUCGGUACCACAGUGGGAGAAGCCCAAAGAAUACGAAGGUCGACACAGCACCGAAGCUGUGAGCAGGAAAGCUUCGGCGUAAUAGCAGAAAAGGAAACUGACUUAAAGAUGAAAAGGCUAUUCAGACCUCGGUGGAUUACUAUAGAAUUACUACCAAAUGUAAAGGGCAUGGAUGUAAUUUUAUAUGAGCUAUGUCUCGUGCCUAUAAAUAGGUGAGCAGUGCCCCCGUACUGUUCACGCUGACUUGGCAUUUACUUUUGCGUCACGCUUGUAUUUUUACCUUCCUUCAAGCCGAAGGUACAUUUGUAAUUUGAUAUCAUUUCUAUGUUUCCAUAAUAAUAAUAUAGAAAUGAGUUGAUAAUUAUACAUAAUUGUGUACGUUAUAUUCCAUAUAAUUCCUUCUUCAUUAUUAUAUGUUGUGUUGAUGAAGGUAUGUCCUUCAUAACCUUCGUCCGAAGAGCAUUAUAUCUCAAGGGAAAUAAUGCUCCGAAGGACGAAGGACUUUAACGUUUAACAUUUUUUGUGUUGCCUUGUUCUUAACUUAUAGCAUUUGAGAACAAGUCCCCAACAUUGGCGCCCACCUCCGGUGAACUCACUUCCACUUUUUGAGUUUCGAACACCUUCGGCAAUCAUAGACCUUCGCUAUGGCGCCGAAGAAAGCUUCAGCGACUGGGGCUGCAGCUCUGCAACCGCUGGACCCCAAUCAGGAGACUCUCUCCCUUCGGGAGGCCCGAAGCCAGAAGAGGAAGGCUGUCAGCCCGACACUACAAGAGGAUGAGCUAGACCAAGAAAUCAGAGACAUGGAGAUGCUUCAUCAAUAGGUGCAGAGGAAGAAGGAAAAGAUGGCCAGGCUAGCUGAACUGCAAAGGCAGAUAGACGAAGCCUCUGAAGAAGUUCGUCAUCUUACUCAGGAUGAGCAGAACCGAAGACCUCAGCACAAAGAUCUUCAUCAGGAGGAUUUCUUCAACGAAGAUGACUGGUAUGAGAAUUUCCACCAUGGAAAUUUUGCUUUUGAUGAUGCUUCUCCUUUGUCCGCUGAGCUGCAGGCUACACCUUGGCCUCCAUCCUACAAGCUGCCCCAGCUUCCUAUAUUUGACGGCCAUUCAGACCCGAAGCAGUUUUUGAUGAGCUACGAAGCAACAGUAUCUUCGUAUGGUGGCAAUACUGCAGUCAUGGCAAAAUCUUUUGUUAUGGCUGUCAGGAGUGUUGCUCAAACCUGGUAUUCCUCCCUUCGACCAGGAACGAUCACUUCAUGGCAAAAGCUGAAGGACAUGUUGUUAACCAGCUUCCAAGGGUUUCAGACGAAGCCGGUCACUGCUCAAGCUCUAUUCCAGUGCACCCAGGAUCACGAAGAAUACCUUCAGGCGUAUGUCCGGAGGUUCUUGCGUUUGAGGGCACAGGCGCCAACAGUGCCCAACGAAAUUGUCAUUGAGGCCAUGAUCAAGGGACUUCGGCCAGGACCUUCAGCUCAGUACUUUGCUAGGAAGCCUCCUCAAACUUUGGAGAAGCUGCUCCAGAAGAUGGACGAGUAUAUUCGGGCCGACAAUGAUUUUCGUCAAAGAAGGGAGGAGGCUUUCAGGUUUUCCGAAAUGACCAGGGGCUUCGGAGGAAGAUUUUAUCCGAGGCACGUCAGGUCAAUUCACAACUCUACUCAAAAUGAUGAUAAGGGGAGUCAGCAGCAAAGGCCACAGGGCUCUUCACAGGCUUCGGGGCAACAGCAAAGCUCCUUCCGGCCGCCAGCUCCAAGAGGCAGAGGCGCCAGGGGCUUCGGCGGAAGAUUUGGAGAUCAACCAAGGAGAACAUUUUGCUUGUUCUGUGGUGAAAACAAGGGCCAUACCACCAGGAUGUGCCAUGUUACCAUCCAGAAGCAAAAGGAGAUAGCCGAAGCUGCAGCACAACAGGGUCAACCGAAGCAGAUCAUGCACACUGCUUCGUAUCAUUCGCCUUAUAUCCCAGAAUAUGUAGGCAACCACCCUGCAGUUUCUGUAGCUUCGGCGAGUCAACCUCAAGCUUCCUGGCAACAGCCUCCGCCUCCACCACCGCUGCAACAAGGCCAGCAGCCAGAAGGGGGCCAAUAUGCUCAACACCAAAGAGACUUCAGAGAACAGUCCGAAGCUCGCACAGUUAAUAGCACUGUGCCAGAGUCGAAGCACAUUUAUUGACAAAUAUCCUACCUUGAUAGUAGUCUUUUCCAUUCAGUUUUAUUUUCUGUGUAAUAAAGGACACUUUUUAAAUCUCACGUAAUGAUUUCGUUGUCUGCCACAAGGAAAAUAUAUCUCCUCUACAGGCUUAAGUUGUUGAAGCUUAAAGAUUUGCGAUAGCAAGAAGGACCUUCGAAUUAUAAAGAGUUUAUUUUAAAAGGCAUGACAUGAAUUCUUCGAAGCAACAAAAAGUCGUUCCAAGGAACGCAGGGUAAGUUUGCUGAAGUUACAAAAAGCCGUUCCAAAGGGAGCGCAGUGUAAGUUUUCUGCUCAAAAGUCGUUCCAAAGGGAAUGCAGAGCUUACAGCGAAAAAUAAACGCUGAUACCGCCUAAGUAAAAGGUGAAGCGCGAAAAGUCAACGCGAAUACCGCCGAAAGUAAAAGGCGAAGAAGCUCCUAAGGGAGGCUUACAGCGAAAAAUAAACGCUGAUUCCGCUGAAGUAAAAGGCGAAGAAGCUCUUAAGGGAGGCUUACAGCGAAAAGUCAACGCUGAUCUAAAAAGAUUAUGUGUUUUAUUGCAGGGAUGUGCGUGUAUCUUCGGAAUAAAUACCAUUUUACAUAGCAUAACAUCAUCAUAUCAUUUCGCAUAGCAUAAGCAUCAUGCAUCAUGCUGCAUAUACAAGAAGGGGACACAAUAUUGAUCUUCGGAAGAAUGCUUUGAAAAAGGGAAAAUCAUGCUAAGUCACAAGGAGAUACAAUAUUGAUCUUCGGAGUGUAGCUUCGGAAAAUAUUUUAACGAAGCUUGGAUAUUCUUCAUCAGAACACUAUGGAUAUAGUUGUGAUAAAUGAAAAUUCUUCUUCACGAAGCAUGAAAAGAAGGGAAGGUGUUUUUUCGUCAAAGACUCAAAAACGGUAUGUAUGUAAAUUUCAUGCAUCGUAAAGAAUUGAACCAUAAAAAACAAGUAUAUUACAUUCAGGGUUACAAGAUAUUACACAUAUUACAUUUCAGAUGUUUUUACAAUAGCACCUAGUCUUCCCUAAGCACUACUUCCGCAGCUUCGUUCAGGAGUUGAUUGACAACUUGAUCCAUGAUAGCUUCAGCCAUCUUUUUAAUUUCAUCGUCAUCUUUCGGCUGAGGGCCUGGGGGCGCUUUAGUAGGAUCUAAGGGAGGAUAGGAUACAGCUACAUUGCUAUUACAAGUUGCGAACGAAGUUUAAAAUCAAAAAUUAUAACACAAUAAAAACCAUUAGUUAAUACCUAUUUGCCCUUCGGGCUCUGCGGUUUUCUCAACAGCCUCUGCUACUUUUCUAGCGUCAUGGAUGCCUUUUUCGCUUUUCUGGAUAAUUUCUCGGGCCAUUUCUCGGCCACCAUUGUCCCAGAUAUCGGUGAAAAAUUUUCCACCAACCAUGCUAGCUUCGGCUGAAGGAUCUUUUGCAUCUUCGAAGGACAAAGUAGCUUCGGACUGUGCUAAAAUCUUUAUAUGCUCACAGCCCUUUCUCUCCAAAAUGGUGGCAAUCCCCCUGGCACCCGAAAAAGCACAUAUGUCUCCGCGGCUAUUUAAAAUUUCCUCAAAGGCCUCAGCUUCGUGAUUAAUCCAUUCGAUGGGACCUUCAGGGUUGCCUCUUGUAAAGUUUUCUUCGCUCGAGAAUGCGCCAACGCUGGUGAAGCUAGCUUUUAUUUUCUUAACACACUCCAUAGAUUUGUCAUAGCAUCUUUUCUUGGACGAACGAAGCUCUUCAACAGUAACUUCUAAAUGAUUUGCCCAUUGGUCGCUAAGUUCUCGCUUCGUUUCUUCAAGUAUGCGUUCCUCUUUAGCUCUGGCUAGUUGUUUUCGAAGAUCUUCAAUUUCAUGCUUCUGAGCCUCAGCUUGACCUUUAAAAGUAGCUUCGUCUUCUUUUAUUCUAUUUAUCAAUGAAUGUAAUAUUUUAUCUUUUUCGAGACCUUCGUUCCUUAGUUCAAUUACUUCGGAACGAAGGUUGCUCAGGGCCAUAACACACCCUUCGUCUUCGGCAUCUUUUUGGGCCCUGAGGGCAUUGUUAAGUAUAAGGCCCUGCAAAGAAAAAUGUGUGUGCGUCAAUAAAUUUAAGCAAACGAAAAAUUUUGGUCUCAAGAAAAAAUACAAAGACCUAAUUUUUUUUUGCACCUUUAAGCUAUUGUACGCCAAGCUGUCGGCCAGCUCGUUUUUCGACAACACCGAGAGCCCGUCUUCUAGUGUUGGGAAUCCGAAGCUCUUGCUCAUCUCCCGACAGACAGAAAUCUCCUUGCUGUCAGGGAGACAAUACAAGAAGUCUUCUUCUUCGCUGCCGUUGAAUAUCAAUGCCCCUUUGGAUAUUUCAGUUUUUGGGCGUAAAACUGGGCCUCUUGCUUUUCUUUUUCAGACAACUUUUUCCCCGAAGCAUGUCGAACAAUAUAAUCAAGGACUUUGGGGGAUGCUUCGGCGGUAACAGCACUGAUUUCUUCAACAAGAAUUGGCUCCGUCAUUUUUUCUUCCUCGGUUUCCAAGGAUUUUACCUUCGUGGGCUCUGAAGGCCCAGCUUCAGCCUCAGUUUGUUGCUUUGGAGCUUUAGUAUCAAAAAUUUCAGUUUCCGCUUCAGAAGUUUCAACAGUCUUCUUCGGAGUUGUGCUUGAGGACUUAAUUGUCUCCAGAACAUCUAGCACAUUGACCAUUCUUUUUCUUUUCGGAGUCACCGCUGGGCCCUUUUGGUUCUUUAUUGUCUCAACACUUGCUGAAGGACUCAAAAUUUCCAAUAUUUUUGUUCCCUCAGUUCUCGGUUUUUCUGCUUUCUCUGCUGAGGGUGCUUCAGCUUUUUCUUCGAUCUUCAGCACUGAAGUUGGUUCUUUAAUUUCGGUGGCCGAAGAGGUUUCACCGGCAAACUCAGGAACUGUAGCUGGUUCAAUGUAGCGUGGCCGGUGUGUAAGAACCUUUACCCUUUGUCUCUUCGGCGUUGGCUCGCUGGGAGCGGCUGAGGCAGUUUCCUGAGCAGAAGUUGCGCUUUUUAUUUUUUGGCCCCGCGCUGGGUAGUGGUAGUCGGGGUACACGAACCCAAUUGCGUCAAACACUCGGUUCAGUCUUUUCUUUUUCCGGCCUCCGAAGGCUGCUGACAAUGCAGUAUCUUCGGCCUUUGAAUAAACCCCAAGUAGUUCAUCACUUAAAUUUUCAAUGCUUUUUAGCCAGUCAUCAUCUGGCUCAACGAAUUUAUCUCCGAACUUGAAAGUAUACUUCAGUCUGAUAAGUCCACCUUCGUCAGCCUCUUUUAUGGUCUCUUGCGGCAUUUCCCAUUUUUCCGCGAGCGGCCAUACUCUGAAGGCAAUAUGCUCUUGGACCAGAUCCCUCGUUCCAAUAAAAGAGCAAACAACUCCGAAGGCUCUCUGGCAUUCUUCGGCAGCUUCAUUCAUUUCAACCUUCGGCCUCCGUAGGCCGAAGCGUUGCCAAAUAGGGCACAUAAUUAUACCUUUAAUAUCUUCCCGUGUUUUCAGGUCAUUCUUCACAUAAAACCAUUCUGUCAUCCAGUCGCCGGGCCAUCUCUUCCGAAAGGUAGGCACAGGACAACUUGACCCAGACCGAGAGACAAAACUGUAGCAGCCGAAAUUAUUAUGAUUUUGCUCCUUACCCCAGGGUUUUGUCUCGUAUAACAAUUCGUGUAUGUUGCAGAAACUUUUCGCAUCAGGUUCCAGACCUUGGCUUCUCACGGCCCACACGAAGAUAUUCAUCCUUAUGAUUGCUUCGGGGGUAAGUUGGUGAAGAUAGAUUUCAAAUAUUUUCAGCACCUCUACGAAAAAGCUGCUCAGGGGAAAUCGUAAUCCAGCUUUCAAAAAGCUUCGGAACACUACGACUUCAUUUUCCUCAGGGGUCGGACAAGUCUAUUCUCCUUCGUCGGCCCUCACAAUGGACAAGUCCCGGAAAUAUCUUCCCCUCAUGUUGACAAGAUGAUUUUCUUUGAUACUUGAUUUGCCGAAAACUACAUGGCUUGGUCGCCAAGGGCGAUCUUCGGAGUCUUCAUCACCGCUAUCCGCAUCAUAACUGUCGCUGUCAUCAGUAUCUUCAGACAAACCUUCUAAAAUCUCUUUGGUGAUCUUUUCUGUGUUGGUUUUCGACAUUGCUUCAAGAAACCCCAGGUUUUUCUCUUCAGAGAGACUCAGCUUCAUCUUGAUAGCAGCCUUUUUGUCUUCAGACAUCUUCGAAAAUGCUAAAAAACUGUUUUCAAAGCCGAAGCUUAAAAACUUAAAAGGCCAAGCAAGUGUUGGUGCGCAAGAGCUAAAAAUUGAGUAAGCAAGAGCAGAUGGCAAGAAAGCGUACCAAGUGAGCUCGUGGUAUGCUCUUAUUUAUACGCCCAGUGCAUUGAAAAUUGGAAAACCCCGCUUGUCAGUGAAUGUUGCUAUUCUAGCAAAGGAAAGGUGUUUUUUCGGACCUUCGGCUUAAGGCCUUCGUCCAUGUCGCAAUUUAAAUUUAUUAAUCUAACAAAUUAAUAUUGCGAGGGGCUACUGUUGGGGGCCUUCGGCUUCCGAAGGUCCUCAAAAACAUGAUUUAACGAUGUUUCUGGAGUAUAAUGUGUGAACAGGUAUCUUCGGACUCGAAUCGGUACCACAGUGGGAGAAGCCCAAAGAAUACGAAGGUCGACACAGCACCGAAGCUGUGAGCAGGAAAGCUUCGGCGUAAUAGCAGAAAAGGAAACUGACUUAAAGAUGAAAAGGCUAUUCAGACCUCGGUGGAUUACUAUAGAAUUACUACCAAAUGUAAAGGGCAUGGAUGUAAUUUUAUAUGAGCUAUGUCUCGUGCCUAUAAAUAGGUGAGCAGUGCCCCCGUACUGUUCACGCUGACUUGGCAUUUACUUUUGCGUCACGCUUGUAUUUUUACCUUCCUUCAAGCCGAAGGUACAUUUGUAAUUUGAUAUCAUUUCUAUGUUUCCAUAAUAAUAAUAUAGAAAUGAGUUGAUAAUUAUACAUAAUUGUGUACGUUAUAUUCCAUAUAAUUCCUUCUUCAUUAUUAUAUGUUGUGUUGAUGAAGGUAUGUCCUUCAUAACCUUCGUCCGAAGAGCAUUAUAUCUCAAGGGAAAUAAUGCUCCGAAGGACGAAGGACUUUAACGUUUAACAUUUUUUGUGUUGCCUUGUUCUUAACUUAUAGCAUUUGAGAACAAGUCCCCAACAAUUUGCAUUAAUGAAAUUGUGUAAAUCCACCAGAUAAUCAAAAAUACGCAUGUUUGAUGAAAUGGUUGUUGCUAUUUGUUUCCAUGACGAAUCCUUGGUUUAACUGAAUAAGUAAAGAAAAUGGGCCGAUAGCAAUAUUAAGUCUCUGGUUUACAGAAUUAACUUACUUUUGGAGAUCUUUCUCUAAUUCUUUGAUUGCUCCCUUUUUUCUUUAAUAAUUUGGGGAAUUCAAUAUCGAUUAUGACGUGGAUUGUAUCGAUUUCUUUUUGAAUUUCUAUAUGUGUAAUUACUUCAGAACUUGUGUCUGGUUCCAUUUUCUAUUCGAGCCUUUUUUCCUAUUCUUUUGUAUAUAGUUCUUGAUAUAAUUCUGUAUUUUUUAUCUUCAUGUAGACCUUUAGAAUAAUCUUGAGAUUCAGGCAAUUGCGGAUGAUAUAACUAGUAAAUAUUUCCUCCUCAUGUCAACAGAUUUUAUUGUUUAGGGAGAAUUACACUUACUUGUUUUCUAGUACAAGUCGCUACCAGUUUUGCUAUGACUUUCUACUACCGACCGACCGUUACAUAGGCUUUUUUCCUCCGUUCAAUAUAUAAUGACGGAGGCCAACUUUGGUUGGUUAAUCCAAUCGGUUCAUCGAUGGUCAGCAAGAAUGAUGGUUCUAAUGAUGAUCCUGCACGUAUUUCGUGUGUAUCUCACAAGUAGAUUUUAAAAACCCCGUGAAUUAACUUGGGUCACAGACGUGGUUUUGGCUGUAUUGACAGCAUCAUUUGGUUUAACUGGUUAGUCUUUGCCUUGGGAUCAAAUUGGUUAUUGGGCAGUCAAAACUGUUACAGGUGUACCCGAAGCUAUUCCGGUAAUAGGGUCCCUAUUGGGGCAAAGGCGAACACGCCACCCUUCGCUCGACGACUUCUACCUCGCGCUGCACGAACGAAGACCGCAUCCGUAGGCCCCGCCGGACAGACCAAGGACACCGUCCAUACAGAGGCCUGUCCGGCCCCCUUCGCUCCGGCAAGACAAGAUGAAGGCCCCACGAAGACCAUAGGGCCUCCUCCGCCUCAGAGCAGGGGGAGUCCCGUGUACAAUUCGGCCCAUGUAGCAGGGCUCGUGUCCGGACGUUGCAUGGGCAGUAUGGGUUGGGUUGUGUCUGUAAUAAAGUAUGUUGUAAUGACUCGCUGUAACCUCCCCUCGUGGGAAUAUUCCGGGGAUAAACUAGGUAAUUGAGGGUCUAAAUGUCUUUGACAGGGUCGGGCAGUCCCACGAUUACCUAUAAAUACCCACGUACUGUGCCAAAGCGCAGAGAGAAAUUUUGUGGCUUUGACACCCCGUGUAAGCAUUACAAAUCCAUCUCCCAUUUCCCGUUGGAUCUACAUGUCCUAGAAGGCAGGUUCCAACAUUUGGUGCCCACCUUUCGUGCGACAAAAAAACAACCCGUGAUGGCCCCCAAGAGAACAACCUCGAAGGCUACCGCAUCCAUCGACGACGCGGAGAAGGCAGCACUCCUGGCGGAGAAGAAAGGCAAAGCCCUCGCGGACAACACCCCUAGGAGGCCUUUGAAGAUGACGCUAUCAACAGCAAGAGACAGCGCCAUGAUAACCCCACUCCCGACGGCACUGUGCGCACUUGUAGUUCCGAGGGCGCACCGCAAGCACCACCACCAGGCUUCGCUCCCCCAGAGGGCGAAGACACCAUAUAGGAUGGAGAAGUCAUAGGCAUCUUGGCCGAAGACCAGCUAAAGCUGUGAGCCCUACGCAUCAAAAACAACCACCUGCAGAAGCAGAAAGAAAUACUUGAAGCCAAGCGUCAACGAGGCACUAUGCAAGCCAAAGUGCGACAGAUGAUACAAGAUGAGGAGCAGAGAGCUCGGGAGCUAGAACAAGAGAUCGCGCUCAUGCAAAGCGAAGGCCCAUACAACCUGCAACGCGGCCCCCUGCACCGUCAGUGGCUUUCCUGCAAAACACACAGGCCGGAGACCCAUUCCACUCAUAGCGCGGCCCCUUCAUCCCCCCAGCUGUCGCCUUCCACGUAAUCAACUAUCUCGACGAGUGAAGUCCUCUGGCUCCGUAGCUCCAAGCAUCACCCUAGCCUGCCAACUUCAGGACCGGUACCUACCCCAAAUACAAUGGCAGCACCGACUCGGCUUAGUACAUCAUGAGCUACCAAGUCGUCGUUGCAUCAUCUGGAGGGGACGAUGCCACUAUGGCCAAGUCCUUCAUUAUCGCACUCGAAGGCCCAGCCUUAACUUGGUAUACCAGGCUACCGCCACUAUCAAUCGAGUCCUAGAAGGGACUUCACGACAAGUUCCUGCUCAAUUUCCAAGGAUACCGGCCCAACACAGAUGCACUGGCCGAGUUAUCCCUCUUCAAGCAGCAAGAAAAGGAAACCCUUCGCGAAUACUACAGAAAAUUCUUGACACUUAAAUCGCAACUGCCAUCAGUUGACGAUCACAUAGCAAUCCAUUACACCAUCAGUGGUCUUCGGGCCGGUGUCCUGUACAGUCAUUGUAUCAGGGAUCCACCCAAACACCUACAGGAGCUCUACCAACUAUUUGAGAAGUAUGCCAGGCCUGAGGAGCUCCAUCAGCGCAAAGUUGAAUCUUAGAGGAAGCCCAAGGACCCUCUGCAGUCUAGAAGAACUUGGAUUCGGUGGCGCAGUCAAACUCCGGCAGGGACAAUCGCAACCAGCAAUAGGUGCACACCAUAGCCAAUCAGCACCCAGCCGAAGCGCCCACACGCCAUCAGGAAUACCCCCUCAAGGCCGCAGCAACAGCGCAAGAGGAAGGGGCAGAGGACGGACCCAGCAGCCGUGACGAUUCUAUUGCUUGUUUCAUGGCGAAGACUGCACGCAUCCAACAAGGGAUUGUCUGGAGACUAAGGCCACCAAGAACAGAAUGGCCAGAGCCCAACCAGCCGACAAGCAGCGGGUCGUCGCGCACACUUACCACCCCCAACAACACCACCAACAACCCUACCAUAACGAGCAGAUCCAGCACCAACUCAAUCAUGCUUACCAUAACCAUUAAGAGGUGCUGGUUCUACCACCACUGCCUCCGCACCACCCAAACCCUCCACGUCACAACCCACCACCGCCAACACCCAAACAGGAAGACUUUGCCGAGCCACCAUACCGCGGAGUCAUCCACAUGAUCACUGGGGGAUCCAGCGUGGACUUCGACACCAAGCGACAGAAAAAGGACCUUUAUCGAAGUGUGAACCAUGUCGCUCUCACUCGCCCAGUGGUGCAAAUGAAGUGGUCCCAUGUACCGCUCACCUUCGACGCUGUCACACCCGGUUUUAGAAGGCAAACCGAAUGCGAACCAUGUACGUGCCAGGAUCAGUUAUUCACGUACACAGCAGUUACAUAACAUGGACAUCAUCACACAGUGCUCAAAAUAGUAUUAAGAAGGGAAAUAGUCAAUUACAUCAUACGUCUGAGACGUCCAUAUAGUCCUUACAAUAAAUCAAAGUGUGGAAAAGAAACGUAGAUAAACGCGACCUUCACAGGCAGCCGACUGGGGGUUGCCGCUAACCCACACCUAGAACUCGUCGUAGUCUUGGAACUCCUGGAAGUCUCCUUCCACAGCUUCAUCUUUGCCUGAGCAGUGGUUGCAAUGCUGACAACCUAGGGAUGGGGGGGUUUGGUGUGUAGAGCAAGGGUGAGUACACAUCAACAUACUCAGCAAGUAUCCUGUUUGGCUGUAGUGGACUAGCUUUAUGUGGGGGAUAAGUCAAGCAGUUGCUUUUAGUUGGUCAGAUUAUUAUUUACUAAUAGAAAGCCAAGUUUUAACAUUAACCCAAGUUAUUAACCCGAUGUACCCUUUCCAAACGGAAAGAAUACCACCUACCAGCACCAUAGUCAUAACCAAAACCAUCGAUCUCAUCGCCACCUGUACCAAAGUAUCUCUGAUCAAGUACCACUAAUCACUGGAGCUCCCUUGGCCGCUCAUAACCGCGAGCACGGCUGAUAUAUCAGUUUUCAAACACUCUGCAGAGGUUGUGCACUUUACCCACAAGCCGUGAUUCCCUCUUGCCUCGGGCCGAUCAAACCCUUAAACACUACCAAGGUGAAUAGGCAGGGUUUCACUACGUAGCCUUUACAAAGAUUCCCCGGGGCUGUAGUCGCCCGUUAGGUUUCCUAAAUGUACCACACUCCUCCCCAAGGGACAAAUCAACCUUGGCAGAGCGAGCCGCAUACACCGAGCCCCAUUGACGACACGACGGCGAAGCGAACUACACCCCGGAUCCUCUAAUUAUUUAGCUAAGGGCACCCCAUUCCACCCUCAUGGUUGCACUGUUUUCCCGGGCGGUCAUCCAUAGAACAGGUCCUUACGGAGAGGCACUCGAGAAACCGCUCGAGCCCCCUUGAUGACCACAAGUACAACAUCAUAUUAAGAGAAGGGAAAACAGCGUAUCAUAGAUAAUCUCAUCAUGUUCAUUGAUUAGAGUUUGAGCAAUAGCAUAAAGCUAAACAAUAAUAAUCCAACCCAAAUAGGUAAACAAGGACAUGGAUAUCAAAAGCUAGUCAAUCCUUAGGCAUAAAUGUGUAAAGCGGGAGGUGAAUUAAAUAAUGAAUAGGAUAGAGAUAGGUCAAAGGACACUUGCCUCCACCAAUCGACUGCUGCUCAGGGGCUUCUCCUGCGAGUUCCUCGGGCUCUUCAACCGGAUCGUUCUCUAAGCGGGUGCAAACAUACAUACAUCCAUCCAUUGAAAUUAAGAAACCAACAGUACACCAUACAAGAGAACAAAUAAAGCAAAUAUGCAUAGAAUACCACAUACGAUAAUGGAUUUACCUUGGUUAGAAAGAAACGAGGGAAGGUCUCGCAGGGGUUAAGGCUUAUGCUCGAGGGGCACUACGGGUAAACGAAUGACUAGACGUCACGCGCUCUAGUUCCAGUUGGUUCUAACAAACGGAUUAGCUACAUGCACUAAUGUAAACGCGAUCACUUUUAGUAGAUUAACAUUGAAUAAGAUAGACGAUUGACUAUACAAAUUAACUAACGUAACCAAUUUCCAAAUUGAGACUCCUACCUUAUUAAUAUAAACAACGUGAUUAGCGUAUAUAGGAGACGGGGGGGGGGGGGGGGGUAGACGAUCGCGUCGUAGGCACGACGAGCUACGCCGGAACGCUGCGCGAACACGCGCACGCGCAAAGCCACACAUAACGUGCUGCGAACGAGUCGCGCACGCGUCGGGGCCGUGCGCUGGCCGAGCUCGAGGCCACGCGCCGAAGGCACGCUGGGCCGAGCUCGAGGCCACGCCGAGGGCCGACACGAUGCGAGCAAGGCACGGCGGGGCGAACGGGCAAGCACGCCGGGGAAAGCGAGCGCGGGCGAGCGAGGAUACGGCCGGACGAGGCCGAGCGCGAGGACGGGCGGCCGAGCCAGGGCACGGGGGUGGUUGAACCGGGGGGGGGGCGGCCGAGCUCGCCGGGAGGCGGGCGGCCGAGCCGGGGGCGGGCGCGCGCGGGCGAGCGGGGCUCGCCGCGCCGCGGGAGGACGCCGGGCCACCACGGCCGGCCGAGCCGAGGGGCGGGGCGGGGCGCAGGUGCCGGCCACGGAGCCGGGCCGAGCGGGCGGCGCGGGUCGCUGGGGCGGCCAGGGAGCCGGCCGAGCGGGCGGGCGGCGCGGGCUCGCCGGAUGAGGGCGCGGCCGGGCGCGGCUCGCCGGAGCGGGCGCGAGCGCAGCCGGGCGCGGGCGGAGCGGGGUGGCCGGGGCCGGGCCGAGCUCGCCGGGACGGCCGAGCCGGGGGCCGAGCCGGGCGGGGUCGGGGCGGGACGCGGCCGGGCGGGGUCGCCGGGGGAGGGCGGGGCGCGGCCGGGCGGGGUCGCCGGGCCGGGGCCGAGCCGGGCGGCGCGGGUGAGGGGAGGGCGCCGGAGGGAGGAGAGGGAGGAAGGAGAGGGAGGGGAGGAGGGGGAGGGGGGAGCCUCACCGGCGGGCGGGGAGGGGCGGCGGCGGCGGCUCGGGCGAGCAGGGGAGGGCGGCGGCGGCGGUUAGGGCAGGGGUUAGGGUGAGGGAGGGAGAGAGAGAGAGAUGACGGGCGGGGCCCGCGGGAGGAUUUUUGGAAAAAAAGAAAAGGGGUGGGGGGCGGCUGGGCCGGUUGGGCCCAAAGUGGGGGAGGGAGGGGGCGCGCGGCUGGGCCGGCGCGGGGCCCACGCGGGAGGGGGGGGGGAAGGGGGCGGCUGGGCCGCCAGCUGGGCCGGCCGAAGGGGGGAGCGGCUGGGCCGAAUAGGGGAGAAGGGGGGGGGAGAGAGGGAAGAAAAAGAAAGAAAAAAAAAGAAAAGGCUUUUUCCUUUUUUUCUAAUUUCUAAUUUUCUCUAGACGAAAGCAUUCACAUUUUUAAUCAAACAAAAAGUAUGCAUGGUUCGGCAUGGUGCAUCACACAAAAUAAAGUGUUUUAAGGUUUUGCUUAACACGGGAAUUCCAAGCCAAACCCCGCUAAAACUUUGGAAAAGGUCAAGGUUUAGCGAGAGAACGAGAAAAGAAAAGAGUAACACCUGAAUUUGGUGAGAGAAAAGAAGAAAAAAUUCUACCCCCAAAUUCAGGGCGUUACAGACGCCAGGGAUGUCGACUUGCACAACGCUCCACAUGCAGACGCCAUGGUAAUCAACUGCAGGGUAGCAGGAUGGGAUCUGCACAAAGUGCUGGUCGACAAUGGCAGUUAGGCUGACAUCAUUUUUCUGCACGCCUUCGAUCGUAUGGGAAUCAGCCAUAGCCUCCUCAAGCCCGCAGAUAAUCCUCUCUAUGGAUUCGGUGGCAAGGGCAUAUUCCCUGUCGGCAAGAUAGAGCUCCCCUUGUCAUUCGAUGUAGCGCCCAAUGCGCGGAGUGGGCAACUCACGUUCGACAUUGUCGACAUGGUCUACCCGUACAACGCCAUAAUGAGGCGUGGCUCAAUCAACAAAUUUGAGGCGGCCAUUCAUGGGCUCUACCUCUACAUGAAAAUCCUAGGCCCACAGGGCGUGAUCACUGUCUACGGCGACCAACAGACAGCGCGCAACAUUGAGAGACUCUUCGUUCUAGGGCAACGAAAUGUUCACUGCCUUACAGCAGAGCAUGAAGGCUUCGAGAGCCAGCGCCCAGUCAAAGGCAAAAAAGUCAACGCCCAGCUACAGAGUAACGAUGGGACGAAGACAAUACCCCUCGAUUUAGCAACCUCGAAGCAAACAGUCAUAAUCAGCGAAGACUUGACAUCGCGAGACGAGGAAAAACUCCUUUCCUGUCUCACCCAUAACAAGGAUGUCUUCGCCUGGUCCACCCUCGAUCUAGUCGGGGUCAGCCACUCCAUCAUCGAGAACAGUCUAGGCAUCGACCCCUUGGUGUGCCUAAAAAAGCGGUGACUGUGGAAAAUGUCCGAUGAAAAAACGGAGGCAGCCAAGGCAGAAGUGCAUCGCCUGUUGGAAGCCAGAAUCAUCGAACCAAUCGCUUACCCGACAUGGCUCGCCAAUGUUGUAAUGGUGCAGAAGAAGAGCGGCAAAUGGCGCAUGUGCAUCAACUUCACGAGCCUCAACAAGGCGUGCCCCAAGGACAACUUCCCUCUACCGCGAAUCGACAAAAUUGUCGACAUCACAGUAGGCUACGCAGUCAUGUCCCUCGUAGAUUGCUUCUCGGGCUACCACCAGACCUACAUGAAAGAGGAGGACAAGGCUAGUACCAGCUUCAUCACUCCCUUCGACAUAUACUGCUUCAUACAGAUGUCUGAGGGACUCGAGAACGCCGGCUCAACUUUUUCUUGCCUCACCAAGAAGGUCCUCGAAAACCAAGUAGGCCACAACAUCUUCACCUAUGUGGACGACAUUGUCGUAGCAAGUAAAAGCAAAGAGGACCACCUGACCGACCUCGCAGAGACAUUCGCCAACAUACGCGACGCAAGACUACGACUCAACCCAGAGAAGUGUGUCUUCGGGGUACGUUAGGGAAAAAUACUUGGCUACUUGGUAUCGCACCGAGGGAUCGAAGCCAACCCAACCAAAAUCCAAGCAAUCAUGGACAUGGCACCACCGCAAUCCACCAAAGACGUCCAGCGACUAAUAGGAAGACUAGCGGUCCUGAAUAGAUUCAUCUGCAAGUCCGUCGAACAAAGUCUACCUUUCCACAAAACAUUGUGCGACGCGAAAGACUUCAUUUGGGGCCCAGAGCAGGCAGCGGCCUUCGAGUCACUCAAACAACACAUGUCUAACUUAGCAACCUUGACAAGUCCAGACCCCUCGCUCCCACUACUUCUCUACAUCACGGCCUCGCACUACGCAGUCAACGCAGCGCUAGUCCAAGAGCAGGACAGGGAUGGCAAAAAUCAGCAGUGUCCGGUAUACUACGUCUUUGAAGUCCGCACAACUUCCAAAUGCAACAUGACUGAGCUCGAGAAGAUUUCAGGAACCCGGAGGCAUCCACCAGAAUUGCAAAAUGGGUAGCGGAACUGUCAGGGUACAACAUCAUUUUCGAGCCCAGAACAGCAAUCAAGUCGCAAGUCUUGGCAGACUUCAUCGUAGACUGGAUAGGACCCGUGGGGCCGCAGCAAGAGCACUUAGAAACAGUCUAAACUAUACACUGCGAUGACGCAUGGUGUCGCGCGAGGGAAGGCGCCACGGCGAUCAUCACAUCACCCGCCGGAGUCAAAUACAGAUACGUUGUGCGCCUCAGCUUCGCUCUAGAGUCCGACAGGUGCACCAAUAACAUAGCAGAAUACGAAGUUGUCAUCCUCGGUCUUCACAAACUGCGUGCCCUCGGCGUCACCACAUGCAUCAUUAGAACAGAUUCUAAGGUUGUCGCCGGUCAAAUCGAAAAGGAAUACUCAGCCAAAGAGCCCGUGUUGAUGCAAUACCUCACUGCUGUCCACGACCUCGAAAAGCAGUUCAAGGGCUUCACUCUACAACACGCUGAGCGAAAAAAACGAAGAGGUCGAUGCAUUGGCUAAAGCAGCAGCCAAAGGCAAGGCCCUGCCCUCCGGCGUGUUCUACCAUGUCAUCGGCACACCAACCAUCCGCAGUCUCGAAGGCUUGCAAAUAACGCAAGACACUGACGGCCACCGGAUCGUCAACCUUAUAAUGGCUGAAGACUGGCGGGCCCCAAUAACAUUGUACCUCCAAGGCCAUUACCACCCAUCCGAUCGCAACGAGGCCAAAAGGCUGCAACACAAGAGCAGAGAAUUCGCAAUAGUCGAAGGCCAACUUUACAAAAAAUGAAUCAGCCAACCUAUGCUGAAAUGCAUAACUGAAACCGAAGGCAUAGAGAUCCUACGUGGAGUCCACGGUGGAGCCUAUUGAAAGUGCAUUCAUCCCUUUUGUGAGUUUUGGUGAUUUGGAUAACAACACAUUUAAAGGUCUAACGAGUUUGCUAAGUGUUGAACAGGAAAUUCAGUAUGAUGAACAUACUUGAAUAGUGUAUAAUGAUCAGUGAACAAAGGUUCAACACGAGGUUAAAUAACCAAUGAGACAAUGCAAAUGGAUAUAAUAUGAUCUCUAUAUUGGUUUGAAUAUAUGGACAAGACCUAAGAAAUCACUACAUACAUAUGACCAGAAUAGAGGACAAAGUGAUUUAGAGGAUUGGUCAAGCCUAAGAGAAUAAGAUAUGAGGAAUCGUGAAUUGGCUUGACCAUAUUACUGUCAGUCCAUAUAUGCUUCUAUGAGAAUCAAACUAGAGCUUGAUUGAUCUUGACAAUUAUAUCUAGAAGACAUUCAAGCAAGGUUCACAAUAUUGAAGAAAUGAUUCUCUCAAUGGAUGCUCAAUUUGAUGUGACUCAAGAAUGGCUUGAUAGGGUGAAGAUAGCAAGGAAAGGGCUUCGAGGAACUAAGCGAAGGUGAAGGUCAAGCGACGGCUUGUAGACCGAGGUACCAUGGCUAAGGUGAAGAAGAGAGUACUUGCACUAAGUCGAUGAACUAAUCAGCUAUGAAGAGUUAUAACAUGUUGAUGCAUCAGUAAGGUGACUUGAAGCCAUGAUUUGAACUCAUAUAAGGUGAUAUGGUACAAGUCACUGGGUUUGAUUUGAGUUUGCUUCAAAAGGUGAGACAAAGAUGUUUGUGAUCCUUAUGAAGCAAUGCCAUGGAGAAAUCACACAUGAGACACCAAUGACUCAAGGAGUUUACUUCAUUAUAUUUUAUUUAACUUGAGUAUAGGAAUCGUCGUACUAUAAAGGGGGAUCCAAAAAGAAGGUUGGUGUUUGCCAAAGCUCAAACCUCUCUAUUCAAAAGCUAUUUUUGAAAAGCAAAAAUCUCUUUAACGUUCUAUGGUUGACCGUGGUUAGGGUUGAGAAACCUAGAGUGUUCUUGCUGAAAAGCAGCUGAACUUCUUCAACUGCAGCUGAGCUUUCCAGCUGAACUUGACUUCAGCUGAGUUGAGCUUCUUCAGCUGCAGCUGAGCUUUUCAGCUGAGCUGAACUUCAGCUGAGUUGAGCUUUCUCAACUUCAGCUGAACUCAACUUCAGUUGUGAACCUCUUUGACCAUACACCAGCUGAACUUGCCUCCGGGCAGUUGAGCUGGGGUUUUCUCUCCUAAACUCUCUGGUCAAGACCAGUUGAACUGGUCCUAAGGGGCAGUUCAGCUGGUCUCUGACCCCUCUGACCUCUGACCAACAGUCUGCAAGUCAGACUGGCAAACAGGUCGCCAGAGGUGUCAGGGGAGGUUCAACCGCCCUAGGGGGAGGUUCAACCGGUCUGGUCAACCCUGACCAGUCUGCAGGUCAGUCUGCGCGUCAGUCUGCCAGUCAGACUGGCAGACAGGCUGCCAGGCCUGCCAGGGGAGGUUCAACCGCCCUAGGGGGAGGUUCAACCGGUCUCAGGCAGAAAAAUCUGCCCAACGGCUAGUUUUGAGCUCCACCUAUAUAUACUACCUCCUACCUCUCUCCCCAAAGCAGUGAGCACGAUUUGAACUCCAUUUCUAACCCAAGAAACACCUCCCUCUCCCUCACACACACCUCUUGCCUCUCCCAUUUCAAAUCUUUGGAGAGGAAUCUUUGAGUGAGCUUGAGAGCUACGGUUUUUGUGCUCCAUCUCUAAAUCUCUCUUGCUCUUCUUCAUUCGAGCUUUGGUACUACAUCGAGUUCUUUGUGGAUUCAUUACUCUUGGAGCUUCUAGCUCCUAGACGACUAGGUGUCUCUUGUGAGUCUCCAAAUCUUGUGGAAGACCACAAGAAAGUUUGUAUUACCCGCUCGUUUGAGCAAAGAUUAUUGUGUGGGCUUGACCUUUGUGGUCGGCAAAGGGAGGAUUAGGGUUGAAAGAGACCCGGCUCUUUGUGGGCGCCUCAACGAGGAAGUAGGGCACCUUUUGUGGUGUGACCGAACCUCGGGAUAAAUCUUGUGUAUCUUGUGUUCUUGCUCAUUGUGUUUGUUAGUGUUCUUCGUUCUCUCACCAUUGCGUGGAAGAUUUGUUUAUAUCUUUUUGGUGUGUGGAUUUUGAGAAGUGCCCUUCUCAGAUCUACUACUUUGAACCCUGUGGAUCAUUUAGAACAUCUCAUUUCCAAAGUUAACUGGGUGAAUUUCGAGAUCAAUUCAGUUUUACCCAGUUUGCUUCUAGUUUUUGUUGAAAAAGUUUUAACUUGCCUAUUCACCCCCCCUCUAGGCAACUUUCACCUAUGGGUAACACUCAGGACCAAGGGCCCUCUAAAAGGGAAAUGUGCCCUUGGGCCAUUUCUAGUAUAUUUUGGUGAUUAAGUGUCCAACACAUAUUAAGUGGGUUAUUAUAUGCCAAAUGAUGAAUGAAGUGCAAAUCAACAAGAAGGUAUGUUUCUAGACUUAGUACAUUUGUUUUGGGUACUAAUGAAGUUACCUAUGUGCUAGAAACAUGAAAAGAAAAAGAUUGGAAGAGAGUGUCUGUGUGCAGCCAAGACUCAGCACAGUCUGGCACACUGAACUGUCCGGUGGUGCACCAGACAGUGUCCGGUGCACCAGGCUGGUCUCCGGCGAACUGGCCACUCUCGAGAAAACUUCGGCGGUGUACGACUAAAAUUCACUGGGCUGUCCGGUGGUGCACCGGACUGUUCGGUGAGCCAACAGCCGCCAGCGCAACGGUCGGCCGCCAAAUCCGCGGGCGACGCGUGGCCUCCUCCAACGGUCGGCAGGGGGCACCAGACAGUGUCCGGUGCGCCAACCAGCCCGAAGUUGCAACGGUCGGCUGCGCCAGGAAUGGAAGGAUAUCGCGCACCGGACAUGAACAGUGGUUGUCCGGUGGCACACCGGACUGUCCGGUGCGCCACCCGAUAGAAGGCAAGAUUAGCCUUCCAAGAAUGCCUCCAACGGCUCCUAGCUGCCUUGGGGCUAUAAAAGGGACCCCUAGGCACAUGGAGGAGUCACCUAAGCAUACUUUGAGCAUUCUAAGUCUUCCACACUCCGUCUCCACGCACUUGAUCGAUCGUGUUAGUGAUUUGAGCUCCGUUCUUGUAGUGAACUCGUUGUGCUUCAUUUUGAGCUCAAGUCUUGGCUUGCGUGCGUGUGUAUUGGUAUGGAUUUGUGUGUGUUGCUUCCCAUCCUUACUCUUAUGUUUUCACCAUGAUCUUUAUUGUAAGGGCGAGAGAUUCCAACUUGUGGAAAGUCCUCGCGAACGGGAAAAGAGAUAAACAAUGAAAAGCCGUGGUAUUCAAGUUGAUCAUUGGAUCACUUGAAAGGGGUUGAGUGCAACCCUCGUCCAUUGGGACAACACAACAUGGAGGUAGGCAAGUGUCAUACUUGCCGAACCACGGGAUAAACUCGCGUGUCUUUUGUGAUUGUUUUUCUGUGAUACUUGUGUUCGCAAGAGCUCGCUACUUAGCCAUACUAACACUUAACAAAUUUUUGUGGCUAUUAGUUGUUGAAUUUUAUAGGAUCACCUAUUCACCCCCCUCUAGGUUCUCUCAAUUGGUAUCGGAGUCGUUCUCUUCACGUAAGGGACUAAUCGCCCGAAGAGAUGGAUCCUAAGGGAAAGGGGAUGGUGGUCAAUGAUAAGGAGUCCAUCUUCAACGAGCCGAGGGACGACAAGCCCACUGACUCUAGCUCGAGUCAUAAGAAGAAGGACGGGAAGAAGAAGAGGCGCAUCAAGAAGGCGAAAGGCGAGGCGCACCUUGGCAAAGAAUGGGAUUCGGAUUGCUCUUCUUCCGACUCCGACGAUGAAGGACUCGCCGCCUCGGACUUCAACAAGUCAUUUCUCUUCCCCAACGAGCACCAUACUUGCCUCAUGGCAAAGGAGAAAAAGGUAAGCGCUCGAGAUACCCCUAAGUACACUACUUCAAGUGAUGAUGACUCUAGUGAUGAUGAAGUAGAUUACUCAAUCUUAUUUAAAGGUUUAGAUAGAACUAAAGUAGAUAAAAUCAAUGAAUUGAUUGAUGCUUUAAAUGAAAAGAAUAGACACUUAGAAAAGCAAGAGGAUAUUUUGUAUGAAGAGCAUGAUAAGUUUGUUAGUGUACAAAAAUCUCUUGCUUUUAGGUUAAAAGGAAUGAAAUGCUUUCGUCUGAAUUAUCUGCUUGUCAUGAAACUAUGUCUAGCUUAAAGAGUAUUAAUGAUGAUUUAAAUGCUAAGCUAGAAGUAGUUAAUGAAUCUAGUUCUUGUAUAGAGCAUGUUGUCAUUUGUAAUAGGUGUAAGGAUUUUGAUGUUAAUGCAUGUGUUGAACACCUUACUUCUAUUACAAAAUUAAAUGGUGAAGUGGCAAGUCUUAAUGCCCAACUUAAGACUUGCAAAAAUGACUUGAUAAUUUAAAAUAAGCUAGGGAUGCCUACACCGUUGGUAGACAUCCCUCAAUUAAGGAUGGGCUUGGCUUUCGAAAGGAAGCCAAGAACUUAACAAGCCAAAGGGCUCCAAUUCCCAACAAGGAGAAAGGGAAGGCCCCUAUGGCUAGUAGUAAUCAAAAGAAUCAUGUUUUCAUGUAUAAUGAUAGAAAAUUUUCUAGAAGUUCUCAUUAUAAUAGGAGUUAUAAUGCUUUUGAUUCACAUGACAUGAUUGCUUCAAGUUCCAAUUUUAAUGGUAAGCCUAGGAGAAAUUUUGUGUCUCAUGCUCCUAGGAAAAUGUGUAAUAAACCUACCUCUGUCUUUCAUGCUUGCAACACUACAUAUGUACUCUCAUGUAAAAAUGAAAAAGUGGUUGCUAGAAAGAUGGGGUCCAAAUGCAAAGGAGGCCAGGCUUGCAUUUGGGUCCCAAAGACUAUUGUAACUAACCUUGUAGGACCCAACAAGAGUUGGGUACCUAAAACCCAAGCCUAAUUUGCCUUGCAGGUUUAUGCAUCUGGGGGCUCAAGCUAGAUUAUCGACAGCGGAUGCACAAACCACAUGACAGGGGAGAAGAAGAUGUUCACUUCCUACGUCAAGAAUAAAGAUUCCCAAGAUUCGAUCAUCUUUGGAGAUGGGAAUCAAGGCAAGGUUAAAGGACUAGGAAAGAUAGCCAUUUCAUCCGAGCAUUCCAUAUCAAAUGUGUUUUUAGUAGAAUCGCUCGGGUUCAAUUUAUUAUCUGUCAGCCAACUAUGUAAUAUGGGAUAUAAUUGUCUAUUUACUAAUGUAGAUGUGUCUAUCUUUAGAAGGAGUGAUGGUUCAUUAGCUUUUAAGGGUGUACUAGACGACAAACUCUACUUAGUUGAUUUUUCGAAAAAAUAGGUCGUUCUAGAUGCAUGCUUAAUUGCUAAGACUAGCAUGGGCUGGUUGUGGCAUCGCCGUCUAGCACAUGUUGGGAUGAAUAACCUUCAUAAACUUCUAAAGGGAGAACAUGUGUUAGGUCUAACCAAUGAAUUUUUCGAAAAAGAUAGACCUUGUGCAGCUUGUCAAGCAGGCAAACAGGUGGGAAGCACUCAUCACAGCAAGAAUGUGAUGACCACAUCAAGACCUCUGGAACUACUUCAUAUGGACCUCUUCGGACCCGUCGCCUACCUCAGCAUCGGGGGAAGUAAGUAUGGUCUUGUUAUUGUUGAUGAUUUUUCCCGCUUCACUUGGGUAUUCUUUUUGCAGGAUAAAACAGAAACCCAAGGGACCCUUAAGCGCUUCCUAAGGUGGGCUCAAAAUGAAUUUGAGCUCAAGGUGAAAAAGAUAAGAAGCGACAACGGGUCCGAGUUCAAGAAUCUGCAAGUGGAGGAGUACCUUGAGGAGGAAGGAAUCAAGCACGAGUUCUCCGCUCCCUACACACCACAACAAAAUGGUGUGGUAGAGAGGAAGAACAGGAAGCUUAUCGAUAUGGCGAGGACGAUGCUUGGAGAGUUCAAGACGCUUGAGCGGUUUUGGUCGGAAGUUGUGAACGCAGCUUGCCACGCCAUAAACCGGCUCUACCUUCAUCGCCUCCUCAAGAAGACUUCGUAUGAACUUCUUACCGGUAACAUACCCAACGUGUCAUACUUUCGUGUAUUUGGGAGCAAAUGUUACAUUUUGGUGAAGAAAGGUAGAAAUUCCAAAUUUGCUCCCAAAGCUGUAGAAGGGUUUUUACUAGGUUAUGACUCAAAUACAAAGGCGUAUAGAGUCUUCAACAAAUCAUCGGGUUUGGUUGGAGUCUCUAGCGACGUUGUAUUUGAUGAGGCUAAUGGCUCUCCAAGAGAGCAAGUUGAUCUUGAUGACAUAGAUGAAGAUGAUGUUCCGACGGUCGCAAUACGCACCAUGGCGAUUGGAGAUGUGCGACCACAGGAACAACAAGAACAAGAUCAACCUUCUUCCUCAACGAUGGUGCAUUCCCCAACUCAAGAUGAUGAACAGGUUCCUCAAGAAGAGGCGUGUAAUCAAGGGGGAGCACAAGAAGAACAAGUUAUGGAGGAAGAUGCACCACGGGCCCCUCCAACUCAAGUCCGAGCGACGACCCAACGGAAUCACCCCGUUGACCAGAUUCUAGGUGACAUAAGCAAGGGAGUAACUACUCGCUCACGAUUAGCUAAUUUUUGUGAGCAUUACUCGUUUGUCUCUUCUAUUGAGCCUUUUAGGGUAGAAGAGGCCUUGCAAGAUCCGGACUGGGUGUUGGCCAUGCAGGAGGAGCUCAACAACUUCAAGCGAAAUGAAGUUUGGAGCCUGGUGCCACGUCCAAAACAAAACGUUGUGGGAACCAAGUGGGUAUUCCGCAACAAGCAAGACGAGCACAGGGUGGUGACAAGAAACAAGGCUCGACUUGUGGCAAAAGGUUAUGCCCAAGUCGCAGGUUUGGAUUUUGAGGAGACUUUUGCUCCUGUGGCUAGGCUACAGUCUAUUCGCAUUCUAUUAGCCUAUGCCGCUCACCACUCUUUCAGGUUAUUCCAAAUGGAUGUGAAGAGCGCUUUCCUCAACGGGCCAAUCAAGGAGGAGGUGUACGUGGAGCAACCCCUGGCUUUGAGGAUGAACGGUACUCUGACCAUGUGUGUAAGCUCUCUAAGGCGCUCUAUGGACUUAAGCAAGCCCCAAGAGCAUGGUAUGAAUGCCUUAGAGAUUUCCUAAUUGCUAAUGCUUUCAAGAUUGGGAAAGCCAAUCCAACUCUUUUCACUAAGACUUGUGAUGGUGACCUAUUUGUGUGCCAAAUUUAUGUCGAUGACAUAAUAUUUGGCUCUACUAACCAAAAGUCUUGUGAGGAGUUUAGCAGGGUGAUGACAUAGAAAUUUGAGAUGUCGAUGAUGGGCGAGUUGAACUACUUCCUUGGGUUCCAAGUGAAGCAACUCAAGGACGGCACCUUCAUCUCCCAAACGAUGUACACUCAAGAUCUUCUCAAGCGUUUUGGGAUGAAGGAUGCCAAGCCCGCGAAGACGCCAAUGGGAACUGACGGACAUGUCGACCUCAACAAAGGAGGUAAGUCCGUUGAUCAAAAGGCAUACCGGUCUAUGAUAGGAUCCUUGCUUUAUUUAUGUGCUAGUAGACCGGAUAUUAUGCUAAGCGUAUGCAUGUGUGCUAGAUUUCAAUCCGAUCCAAGGGAGUGUCACCUUGUGGCCGUUAAGCGAAUUCUUAGGUAUUUAGUUGCUAUGCCUUGCUUCGGGAUCUGGUAUCCAAAGGGGUCUACCUUUGACUUGAUUGGAUAUUUGGACUCCGAUUAUGCUGGAUGCAAGGUUGAUAGGAAUAGUACAUCAGGGACGUGCCAAUUCCUAGGAAGUUCCCUGGUGUCUUGGAGUUCUAAGAAACAAACCUCCAUUGCCCUAUCCACCGCUGAGGCCGAGUACGUUGUCGCAAGACAGUGUUGCGCACAACUACUUUGGAUGAGGCAAACCCUCCGGGACUUUGGCUACAAUCUGAGCAAAGUCCCACUCCUAUGUGACAAUGAGAGUGCAAUCCGCAUGGCGGAUAAUCCUGUUGAACACAGCCGCACUAAGCACAUAGACAUCCGGCAUCACUUUUUGAGAGACCACCAGCAAAAGGGAGAUAUCGAAGUGUUCUAUAUUAGCACCGAGAACCAGCUAGCCGAUAUCUUUACCAAGCCUUUAGAUGAGAAAACCUUUUGUAGGCUGCGUAGUGAGCUAAAUGUCUUAGAUUCGCGUAACUUGGAUUGAUCUAUAGCAUACAUGUGUUUAAUGCCCUUGAUCAAGUUACUUUAUGCAUUUAUGAGGUUUAUUUAUGGUGCUCAAGUUGUGCAAGGGAUCCCCGGACCUCAAAAGUCCAUGUGUGAAUGAUGCACAUAUUUAGGGGGAGAAGUGCUACAACUUGACCCUUUGAGACUAACAUUUGUGUUGAGUUUACUUAAUGUAGCCUCAAAGGUGAAUUGAAAGGGAAAUGUGAACUUGGACCAUGCAAAGACUUCCACUGCACUCCGGUAUUAACUCCAAGUUCAUAUCUAUGCUCUUAUUGCCUUUUUGCUCUUAAUUGACAAUUUUGGUGAGGCAAUGGGGUUAAAGGGCCAAGAAUGAUCCCUUUUGGUGCUUAAUGCCAAAGGGGGAGAAAAUAACGCCAAAGCAAAUGGAUCAGCUACCACUUGUGAAAUUUUCAAAAGAGUAGAAAUUUUCAAAAGAGUAGAAAUUUUCAAAAGAGUAGAGUAGAACUUUUGAUUUGUCAAAAUACUCUUAGUGUCAAAAUUUGGUCUCUUGUGGGGAGAAUGUUUGAUUAUGGGAAAAAGGGGGAGUUUUUGGCUCUUAAUCAUUUUUACUCUUGGAUUAUCUCUCUUUGUGCCCAAACAAGUGUGUUUGACUUAGAGAUAGGAAAUGAAUUUGAUUUGCAAAAACAAACCAAGUGGUGGCAAGGAACGAUCCAAAUAUGUCAAAUCUUGUCUAAGACUAUUUUUGUUCUCAAUUGCAUUGAUGUUGCACUUCUAUUUGUUGCUUUUUGAUGUGUUGGCAUAAAUCACCAAAAAGGGGGAGAUUGAAAGGGAAAUGUGCCCUUGGGCCAUUUCUAGUAUAUUUUGGUGAUUAAGUGUCCAACACAUAUUAAGUGGGUUAUUAUAUGCCAAAUGAUGAAUGAAGUGCAAAUCAACAAGAAGGUAUGUUUCUAGACUUAGUACAUUUGUUUUGGGUACUAAUGAAGUUACCUAAGUGCUAGAAAUAGGAAAAGAAAAAGAUUGGAAGAGAGUGCCUUUGUGCAGCCAAGACUCAGCUCAGUCUGGCACACCGGACUAUCCGGUGGUGCACCGGACAGUGUCCGGUGCGCCAGGCUGGUCUCCGGCGAACUGGCCACUCUCGGGAAAACUUCGGCGGUUGUCGGGGACCAUAAUUAGGGGUACCCUCAAGACGCCUAAUUCUCAGCUGGUAACCCCCAUCAGCAUAAAGCUGCAAAGGCCUGAUGGGUACGAUUAAGUCAGGGAUCAGUCCGCACGAGUGACUCGAUCACGCUUCACCCGAGCCUAGCCUCGGCCAAGGGCAGCCGACCUCGAGAGACUUCCGUCUCGCCCGAGGCCCCCCUUUUUACGGCGGACACAUCACCGGCUCGCCCGAGGCCUUGGCUUCGCUCAGAAGCAACCCUGACUAAAUCGCCACACCGACUGACCGAGUUGCAGGAGCAUUUAACGCAAAGGUGGCCUGACACCUUUAUCCUGACACGCGCCCCCCCGGCAGAGCCGACGUGACCGCCGUCACUCCACCGCUCCACUGACCAGUCUGACAGAAGGACAGCGCCGCCUGCGCCACUCCGACUGCGGUGCCACUCGACAGAGUGAGUCUGACAGACAGUCAGGCCUUGCCAAAGGCGCCACGGCGAACUCCGCUCCGCCCGACCCCAGGGCUCGGACUCGGGCUAAGACCCGGAAGACGGCGAACUCCGCUCCGCCCGACCCCAGGGCUCGGACUCGGGCUAAGACCCGGAAGACGAUGAAACUCCGCCUCGCCUGACCCCAGGGCUCGGACUCCGCCCUGGCCUCGGCCGAACGACCUCCGCCUCGCCCGACCCCAGGGCUCGGACUCGGGCUAAGACCCGGAAGACGGCGAACUCCGCUCCGCCCGACCCCAGGGUUCGGACUCCGCCCUUGCCUCAGCCAAACGACCUCCGCCUCGCCCGACCCCAUGGCUCGGACUCGGCCUCGGCAACAGAAGACAGACUCAACCUCGGCUUCGGAGGAGCCCCCACGUCACCCUGCCUAGGGCACAGACCCGCCACGUCAACAGGAAGCGCCAUCAUCAUCCUACCCCGAAUCGACUCGGGUCACGGAGAACAAGACCGGCGUCCCAUCCGGCCAGCUCCGCCGGAUGGGCAAUGAUGGCGCUCCACAAGCCCUGUGACGACGGCGGCCCCCAGCUCUCUUACGGAAGCAGGGCGACGUCAGCAAGGACUCGACCGCUCCAACAGCUGUCCCUCCGCCAGGCUCCGUCGCACCUCCGACGGCCACGACAUCACGCCAGCAAGGUGCCAAGACCUCUCCGGCUGCCACAUUGGCAUGUACCUAGGGCGCUAGCUCUCUCUCCGCUAGACACAUAGCACUCUGCUACACCCCCCAUUGUACACCUGGAUCCUCUCCUUACGACUAUAAAAGGGAGGACCAGGGCCUUCUUAGAGAGGGUUGGCCGCGCGGGACCGAGGACGGGACAGGCGCUCUCUUGGGGCCGCUCGCUUCCCUCACCCGCGUGGACGCUUGUAACCCCCCUACUGCAAGCGCACCCGACCUGGGCGCGGGACGAACAUGAAGGCCGCGGGACUUCCACCUCUCUCACGCUCGGCUCCGGCCACCUCGCCUCUCCCCCCUUCGCGCUCGCCCACGCGCUCGACCCAUCUGGGCUGGGGCACGCAGCACACUCACUCGUCGGCUUAGGGACCCCCCUGUCUCGAAACGCCGACAGUUGGCGCGCCAGGUAGGGGCCUGCUGCGUGCUGACGAACAGCUCCCCGUCAAGCUCCAGAUGGGCAGUCUCCAGCAACCUCUCCGGCCCGGGGCGGUGCUUCGUUUCGGGACUCUUGAGUUCAUGUCCUUCGACGGCAGCUACGACAUGAUACUUCUUCCACCGCCGCGCGACAACGACAAUGGCGGCCGACAACCCGCCCGUCGGCGGCGGAAUCGACGACAUCUUCCCCGCGUGGUGGAAGAGCAACAUUCGAGCUCGCUCCGUUCUCUCCCCCGCCAACGGAGGAGGAGGCGGGGCCAUCAAGGCCAAGCGGGAGGCCGCGCUUCGUUGGUCGUCGAGCGAAUCGACGCCCCCGACGCCCCGACGGAAGGCACGCCGGACGUCGACCUCGCGUUCAAGACGAAGGCAAGCGCCGUCCCCCCGCGACACGCUGACCCCGAGCAAGAAGACGACGCCGGCGCGCUCGCGGAAAGCCUGCAGGACGUCGCCCUCGUACCUGAGAUGACGGUGCAACCAGUCCCCGAUGUGACUACGUCGCUCCUCGUCGACCAAAAGGUACCGACUAACUCCCAUCUUACGUCAUUUCGACUCGGCCUCAACCCGCCAAACGACCUCGCUUUGGCGGGCGCUCUCAUUGAGGCGAGUGCAACCCCACUGGGGUUUCGUAUGCGGUCGCCUUGGGACCGGCUGACGGACGUCUCGACCUACGGGCCCUCUGGGUCCGAGGAAGAUGACGAUCCCAGCGUCUGUUGGGAUUUCUCCGGACUUGGCAACCCCAGUGCCAUGCGGGACUUCAUGACCGCAUGUGACUACUGCCUAUCUGACUGUUUCGACGGAAGCCGCAGCCUUGGCGACGAGAGCUGCGGCCCAAGCCGCGAAUGUUUCCACAUCGAGCUAGGGGAUCCCUCCAAAGGCAACCAUCUCGGCAUGCCGGAGGACGGUGAUCUUCCUAGGCCGGUGCCUCGCGCCGACAUCCCACGGGAGCUAGCUGUGGUCCCCGCUCCGGCGGGGGGUUACGACCCACAACUCGAGCAAGUCCGUGAGGCGCAGGCCGGGCUCAACGAGGGAACAGGAGCGCUUGAGCCGAUCCGUCGGGACGUCGGGCAGGUAUGGGCGGGCCAACCCCUGCCCGGAGAAAUACGUCACCUGCCCCCAAGGUCUCCAGCACCACGUCGCCAACGAUGUCAGGGUCAGGCCGCCGCCCGCAUCCAGCGGGGUUGGUCAGAACCUGGCAGCCGCAGCAAUGCUCCUCCGCGUGAUGCCGGAGCCAUCGACCACCGAGGGUCGGCGAAUCCAGGGAGAGCUCAAGAAUCUCCUGGAAGGCGCUGCGGCCCGACGGGCCGAGAGCACUGCCUCCCGAAGGCAGGGAUAUCCCUCGGAACCUCACGCCGCGACUUCCCGAUUCAUGCGGGAAGCCUCGGUCUACACCGGGCGCACGCGCAACACCGCGCCUGCGGCCCCGGGCCACCUCGGCAACGAGCACCAUCGACGCGACCGUUGGGCCCACCUCGACGAAAGGGUGCGCCGAGGCUACCACCCCAGGCGUGGGGGGCGCUACGACAGCGGGGAGGAUCGGAGUCCCUCGCCCGAACCACCCAGUCCGCAGGCCUUCAGUCGGGCCAUCCGACGGGCGCCAUUCCCGACCCGGUUCCGGCCCCCGACUACUAUCACGAAGUACUCGGGGGAAACGAGACCAGAACUGUGGCUCGCGGACUACCGCCUCGCCUGCCAACUGGGUGGGACGGACGACGACAACCUCAUCAUCCAUAACCUCCCCCUAUUCCUCUCCGACACUGCUCGCGCCUGGUUGGAGCACCUGCCUCCGGGGCAGAUCUCCAACUGGGACGACUUGGUCCAAGCCUUCGCUGGCAAUUUCCAGGGCACAUACGUGCGCCCUGGGAAUUCCUGGGACCUUCGAAGCUGCCAGCAACAGCCGGGGGAGUCGCUCUGGGACUACAUCCGGCGAUUCUCGAAGCAGCGCACCGAGCUGCCCAACAUCACCGACUCGGAUGUCAUCGGCGCUUUCCUCGCCGGCACCACUUGCCGCGACCUGGUGAGCAAACUGGGUCGCAAGACCCCCACCAGGGCGAGCGAGCUGAUGGACAUCGCCACCAAGUUCGCCUCUGGCCAGGAGGCGGUCGAGGCUAUCUUCCGAAAGGACAAGCAGCCCCAGGGCCGCCCAUCGGAAGAGGCUCCCGAGGCGUCUGCUCCGCGCGGCGCCAAGAAGAAAGGCAAGAAGAAGUCGCAAUCGAAACGCGACGCCGCUGACGCGGACCUUGUCGCCGCCGCCGAGUACAAGAACCCUCGGAAGCCCCCCGGAGGUGCAAACCUCUUCGACAAGAUGCUCAAGGAGCCGUGCCCCUACCAUCAGGGGCCCGUCAAGCACACCCUCGAGGAGUGCGUUAUGCUUCGGCGUCACUUCCACAGGGCCGGGCCACCCGCCGAGGGUGGCAGGGCCCGCGACGACGACAAGAACGAAGAUCACCAAGCAGGAGAGUUCCCCGAGGUCCGCGACUGCUUCAUGAUCUAUGGAGGGCAUGCGGCGAACGCCUCGGCUCGGCAUCGCAAGCAAGAGCGCCGGGAGGUCUGCUCGGUGAAGGUGGUGGCGCCAGUCUACCUAGACUGGUCCGACAAGCCCAUCACCUUCGACCAGGCCGACCACCCCGACCAUGUGCCGAGCCCGGGGAAAUACCCGCUCGUCGUCGACCCCGUUGUCGGCAAUGUCAGGCUCACCAAGGUCCUGAUGGAUGGGGGCAGCUGCCUCAACAUCAUCUACGCCGAGACCCUCAAGCUCCUGCGCGUCGAUCUGUCCUCCGUCCGAGCAGGCGCUGCGCCCUUCCAUGGGAUCAUCCCUGGGAAGCGCGUCCAGCCCCUCGGGCGACUCGACCUCCCCGUCUGCUUCGGGACGCCCUCCAACUUCCGAAGGGAGACCCUGACGUUCGAGGUGGUCGGGUUCCGAGGAACCUACCACGCCGUGCUAGGGAGGCCAUGCUACGCGAAGUUCAUGGCCGUCCCCAACUACACCUACCUGAAGCUCAAGAUGCCGGGCCCCAACGGGGUCAUCACCGUCGGCCCCACGUACAAACACGCGUUCGAAUGCGACGUGGAGUGCGUGGAGUACGCCGAGGCCCUCGCCGAGUCUGAGGCCCUCAUCGCCGACCUGGAGAACCUCUCCAAGGAGGUGCCAGACGUGAAGCGCCAUGCCGGCAACUUCGAGUCAGCAGAGACGGUUAAGGCCGUCCCUCUUGACCCCAGUGGCGACACCACCAAGCAGAUCCGGAUCGGUUCCGGGCUCGACCCCAAAUAGGAAGCAGUGCUCGUCGACUUUCUCCGCGCAAACGCCGACGUCCUUGCGCGGAGUCCCUCAGACAUGCCCGACAUACCGAGGGAUGUCGCCAAACACUCGCUGGAUAUCCGGGCCGGAGCCCGAUCCGUCAGACAGCCUCUGCGCCUCGGUCAUCAAGGAAGGGUCGGCCUCGCCUUGGCAGAGCCCGACCCUCCCUCGGGGGCUAAAAAGGGGGAACCCCUCUGCGUCAAGAUCGGGCAUACUUCUCCGUGUCAAAAAUUUUCAAUCAAAAAAGGGGCCUCUUGCGUCCUCCCGGCUACGUUCUCCCGGCUAUGUCAGAAGCAGGGUCUCGAGGAGCGAACGCGGGUACAUGUAAAUGGCAAGGCCGACUGAGCCGAGGAGCUCCUGUGCCUCCGGGUUAGGGAUACCUCACUCAUCACCUGCCACGAAGAAUGGCCCGACUCGAGAAGCCACCCUAUUAUUGACAAGCCAGGACGAACAUGCAGAUGGAAAGAAAGGAGAGUACGACUCCAUGCAAGAAAGACAAAGUGUUCAGGCCUCAGCAGCCGCGGUGAGACGCACAUCCAACAAGAAACUGUUCAAACAAGAAUUAGGCGCCGCCUUGGGAAGGAGCCGCGCCCUCAGCUCCAUCCCCGCCGUCGGUGGGGUCCAUCUCGGCCUCCGUUAACGUCGCAGGGGAAGGAUCUCCGCCUCAAAGGUGGUCGCCAGCACCGCGCUCGGACCCGCGGCGACCGCGUCGAGCCGUUGGACCUCCGCUAGGGCAGCAUCGUCUUCGUCAGGAAGACAGUACCCCUCACUAACCCGCUCCAGGUCCACAACGUAGUGGGAAGCAAGCACGGCGAAGGCCCGCCUGACGCCGUGGUGUAGCGCUUCGCGGACUCUGCCGCGCGCGUGAUCACCCAAGGCUCGAAGGUGGCUCUGAGGGGAGCUUCCUGAAGGGACGUCGCCGGAGCCGAGGACACGAUAAAAGUCCGAGACGGCCUCGGACAUGGCCGCAAGGUCCGCAUCCCUCUGCUCGGCAGCUCCGGCAAGCGCCUCAGCAAGCGCCUUGGCGGACUCGUCAAGGGCGGACUCAAGCUCUGCAAGCAACCAGGAGAAAUACCUCAAGCACAAGCAAAGGAAACGGACAAGAAAGAGAACCAGGGAGGACCAAGACGUACCUCCGGCUCGAGCACGAUGCUCCGAGGCCGCGACCUGGGCCGCGGCUAAGUCAGACGCAAGGGUCUCGGCACGGCUUUCGGCCUCGGCAGCCCGGCCCUGAGAUCGGUCCCGUUCCUCGACGACCUGGGCGAGCUCCGAUCGCUGCCGUUGCGCCUCCGCACGCGCUGCAGCCGCCUCGGCUCUCAGGUCGGCGCAGAGCAGCUGGAGGUCCGCCACCUUGGCAUCCUGCUGAGAAAGGCGCGCGGUAGCCCCGGCGAGCGAGGACCUCAGGGAUUGCAGCGAGCCCCAGACAUCAACCUCGCGGCGGAUGAACGACGACUUGGCGGCGCUCCGGUCCGACAGAUCCUGGGGAAAGGAAACAGGGCGUCACGACGAGUGUCUCGCCCACAGAAGGAAAAAAGGUAUGCCCGAAACCGCUACCUGGAGGAUUUUGGGGACGUCUCUGCAGAAAACCUCCAGCGACGACCGGAGCGACCCCACCGUUGCCUCUGCGCACUCGUGGAGCUCACCCCAGGACUGGUCCUCCUGCUCAUCAUCGAGAACGAAGACGGGGUCCGAGGCCUCGCGGGUCCGGAAUCGGAGCAACGGGCGCCGGGCCUCGGGGCUCCGCCGCACAGCGAUGAGGCUGCCGCUCGGCUGGACGGAUUGCGCGUCCACGCCCACCUCUUCUGAAGUCUUGGGCACCGACGCAUCAGCCAUCCCGACGCUGGCGGCAACUGGACGCCCUUCGAUAGGGACGGCGGCAACCUCGGCGGUGGCAGGCGCCGGCAUGACCGACACGGCAGGCGAACUCAGGGCCGCGUGGGCGUCAGCCGCCUCCUCAACCACGAUAGCCGCCUUGGCUGAAGAGCCAGCCUCGGGAGCCCGCUCCUCAGAGAUUGGCGACGCCCGAGCCCCCGGUGGUGAAGUACCCCGCGAAAGGGUCGGUGGAAUGGCGCUGGCCACACAGUUCGGCGCCGUCUUGAGGGCCUUCCGGGGUGCCAGGUCGGUCUGGCCAUGACUUCGCUUGCUGGAUAUAAAAAAAAGAGAGGAGGAAAGAAAGAUCACGACCGAGACAUAUGAAUGGGAAGCCAAGACGAAGACAUUCCGAGAUACUCACCCACUUCGGGCCAUGAUCCACCGCGCCUGGGGGGAGCCUUCUUGGAUCCCGGCUCCCGAAACAGCCGCCGAGGUCCGCUUCGCCGGCACCUUCGGCACCACCCUUGCUUGGGGCGCCCGGGAAGCGGAUUCCCCGGGCACGGCCGCGACGACUUGAGGGUCACCCCCAUGCGCCACCGACACGAGCGGCGGCCCCUGGGAACAGACGCCUUGGCCUGGACCACCGGAGCUGCCUCAGCUCCUCCGGUUGAGGGGUCAGGUGACCUCUCGGUUCGCCCCCGUGCCUCGGGUCGGGAGCCCGACGCCCCGACUUCGGGGGCUGACGGAGUCGGCCCGCUCGGGGGCUGGCUCGACGGCUCCUGGCCACACCCCAAGCUGGGGCUGAGGCCGAGACGGGCGGCCAUGUCAUCCUCUUCAUCAUCAUCAUCGUCAUCAUCGUCGUCGGGCGUCUCCGGCGACGGCUCCCUCGGGAGUCCGUCCCUCUCCUGCUGGCAACGGCGCUUCUCCAAGGCGUCCCGAGCCCGCCUCCGCUCGCGGGCCCGGGCCUUCUCCGCGUCCUUCUUUUUCUUCUUCUCCUCCGCGGCGACCCGCCGCGCUGCACGGUCCACCGCGUCCUCCGGGACCCGUGGCUGGGAGGGUUUGUGCCACCCCACAUCCUAAAAGGAGGGGAGAAAGGAACCCGAUCAUAAGGACCCGGAGCGACCCGAUAUACGAAGAAGGAAGGAGCGAACACUCACCAAAGUCACACACCCCUGGUCGGGGCGCAUCCGAAGCUGGGAGUAUGCGUGGGGGUCCGGCUUCCCCAUCGCAGCCGACACCCGCCAUUGGAGGGCGUUGAAGGGGAGAGGAUCAGGGGACAUUUGUGAGCCCUCCCAGUCAGCUUCCGGGGUCAUCUCCCAGAGCGGCAGCCGCUGCUCCGCCAAUGGAAGCACCCUCCGACGGUGGAUAGCGGCGAUCACUCCCGCAGCGGUAAGUCCCCCCUCCCGCAACUCCUUCAGGGCCUGGAGAAGGGGUUCGAGAUUCUUCUGCCUCUCGUGCGGGGUCCCAUGGCGCCAGGCGUCGGUGGCAGCCGUAACUACUCGCUGGGAAAACGGUGGGAGCAACUCACCGUCAUUCCGGAGUUAGAACCACCGGCGCUGCCACCCCUUGUUCGAAGACGCAAGAAUGGCAGGAAUGUACUGCAGCGCCCGCGACUGCCUCAACAAGAGAAUGCAGCCGCCGGCCCGCACCGCUGCACGGAUCCUCCUCUCCCCCGUCGACAAGGCGAAAGGCUCGGCGAGGAAGAGAUGAGUCCACAAAUCCCAAUGAGGAGCGAUCCCCAAGUAUCCUUCGCAUACCGCUACGAAGAUAGCGGCCUGCGAGAUGGAGUUGGGGGAGAGGUUGUGCAACUCCACCCCGUAGUGGAAUAGGAUGGCCCGCAUAAAGCGGCCCGUCGGCACACCAAAUCCACGCUCAUGGAAGGAGACGAAGCUCACGACAUACCCCGGCGGUGGGGACGGAGCGGCUCCGCCCACGGGAGGAAUCCACUCUGGCCGCUGCUUGUCGGUGAGGGGGCGGAGCAAACCUUCGCCGACCAGCUCCUCCAGAUCACUCGCCGUCACCAUGGAGAAGGGCCACGGAUCGCGCGGGGGGAUUAUGGUCACUCGAUCCGCCAUCACCAAAAUGGAGAAGAUGGCGGCGCGGGGGGCAGGGAGAGCGGUUUCUCUCUUCUCCGACUAAAGUUUCCCGGGUUGCGAAAACCUAAAGGGAAAAGAAGGGAGCAGAGCGAAGAACCGUCACCGGACCCCCUCUCAAGUAUAUGAAGGCCAGGGCGAAACCGUUUCCAGCACACCGCCUGGACCGGACGCGGGAUUCAAAAAGCGCGAAGCGGUACAACCGUUCCUCAAACGGCUCGCGCACGCGUAACGGCCACCCCGCCAACCACUCGCCCCGUCGCGUUAACUCCGUGGCGGGACACGCGGCGCCUCUGGCGGGAGAAGCGCGCGACGCUUCGCCUUCGCCGUAAUAACCGCGUCAAAAAGAGGUACGCCACGUCGUUCGAUUUCGUAUCCCUUUCCUUUUUUCUCUUUCUCUAUCUCUUGUAACAGGGACCGGGAAAGGGGGAUACCCCGAAAAGGAUCCUUCUCCGCGAAGGAACCGGGCUCCGAGCCCCCCCUACUGAUCAGGGGUUCGAAGACUGGCCCUCCGAAGGGUUCAACAGUCGCCUCAGAUCGCGUGGGCCCGACGCCCAUUACUGAUCAGGGGUUCGAAGGCUGGCCCCCGAAGGGUUCACAGUCGCCUCAGACACCGAGCGAGGGAUGACCAGGGGUACGUUCGAUACAUAACCGAGGCUCGGGCUGCGCUCCCGAGGUACCCUAGGACAUUUCCGAGACCAGCUGGAACGAUCUUGUAACGGAAUCCCAUCGGAGGGAGGCAUCGAGCCCUCGGACCUCGUCGCCAGGGGACCGGGUCCGGCAAAUCACCCGCAGGUACUUUUGGGCGUGCCUCUGUGUCACACCCGGUUUCAGAAGGCAAACCGAAUGCGAACUAUGUACGUGCCAGGAUCAGAAUUCACGUACACAGCGAUUACAUAAAUGAACAUCAUCGCACAGUGCUCGAAUAAUAACAUAAAAGAGGUAUUAACUUAUUACAUCACAGAGUCAUAGACAUCCACAUAGUCGUCAACUUAACAGUUAAAUCAAAGUGCUAGCGAAACGCAGUAAAGAUAAGGCCUUCACAGGCAGCUGACUGGGGGUUGCCGCCAACCCACACCUAGAAUUCGUCGUAGUCUUGGAACUCCUGGAAGUCUCCUUCCACGACUUCGUCUUCUCCUGAGCAAUGGUUGCAAUGUGGACAACCUGGUGUUUUGUGGUAAAGCAAGGAUGAGUACACAUCAACGUACUCAGCAAAUGUCCCGUUUGGCUGAAGUGGACUAGCUUUAUGUGGGGUUAGGCUCAAGCAGUUGCUUUUAGUUGGUCAGGUAUUUAUCAUUAGUAAAGCUAGGUUUUAGCAAUAGCCAACCCAUGAACCAUUUCCUCAUCGAGGAACAUCAUUAUCAUUAUCGAGCCAAAGUCAUAAAUGGAACCACUGUGUCUCGAACCAUUUGUAUCUCUAAUCAAAGAGGAUCCCAAGGCUGCUCUUAACCGUGAGCACGGCUGAUAUACCAGUUUCACUACCCUCUGCAGAGGUCGCACACUUUACCCAUGAGUCGUGAUUCCCUCUCUAGCCCGGGCUUGCAAGACCCUUAUUCACUCCCGAGGUGAAUGGCCAGGGACUCACUACGAAGCCUUUAUAAAGGUUCCCUAGAGGUCAUAGCUGCCCGUUAGGUUUCUCCAGUUUGAUAAACACAGUACCUCUCCCCGCAGGAGGGCGACUAAAAAGCAAAACGAAAGAACCUCGGCACCCAGCCUCGGCAGAGCAAGCACUGUGCCUGGACCCCAUUGACGGCACGACGGCGAAGCAACUACACUUCUAGUUCCCCUAAUUAAUUAGCUAAGGGCACCCCAUUCCACCCUCAUGGUUGCACUGUUAUCCCGGGUGGUCUCUCAACGAACAGGUCCUUACGGAGAGGUACUCAGGAAACAGCCUGAGCCCCCUAGAGUAUCACAAGUUCAUCAACAUCAUCAGGAUAACAGUAUCAUAAAUAGUCUCAUCAUGUUCAUUGAUUAAAUUAAAGCAAUAGUAGAAUGCUAACCAUGAUAACCCAAAGGUAAACAAGGAUAAGAUAAAUAGAAAGCUAGUCAAUCCUUAGGUUUCAAUUGAGUAAUGCGGGACAAUAAAUUAUAAGUGAAUGGGACAUAAUAGGUCAGAGGACACUUGCCUUCGCCAAGCUGCUGCUACUCAGGGUCUUCUCCUGCAAUUCCCUCAGACUCCACGAACGGCCCGAUAUCUACGCGAGUGCAAACAUACAUCCAACAUUCUUGAAAUGGUAGAAAACAGUACACCAUACAACAGUAUAGAUCAAAUAAAUAUGCACGCGACCAAGAAUUCGCAUCUACGACUACGCGAGAACGGAACCGAGACGACUGAUACUACGGUCGAGGGAUAUCACAGGUAUACUAAGCGAAUAUGAAUUAUAAUAUUUAAUUCAGCUUAAUCAUACUAACAGAAAAUAAUCGCAUGCCGAGUAAAAUUACUACUUAGCCCCGAUUAGUGUGUUGUUCGAAUAGCCGUUGCUUAAAUAUAUAUUUAAUUAGCGCGAGCUAUUCUAGGUGAGAUGAGUCAUUAGCGUGCGUAAAACGCACGACGACGCAUGAGAACAGCACGCACAACGCGCGCGGACAGCACGCGACGAUUUAUUGCGCGACGCGCGGGCGAUGGCGAACGACACGAACGCGCACGGGGUUAGACGGGGGGGGGGGGUAGACGGGGGUAGACGAGAGUCGUCUAGGGGUAGACGAAGGGUAGGCGAACGUAGACGGAGUCCCGUCGAUGCACUGCGCGCAAGCAAACGCGAGCGCGCGCACUAGUUGCGCGACGCACGACACAGAGAAUGACGCGACAUACGAGAAUUGUUAUGUCAUGUUUAUACUACGUAAGUAUUGAUUCCAAGGUUUCUAAGUUGAUAUUAAUCACAUUAAUACUUAUUUAUAGAAAGGCAAACUCAAAACCAUAGAUUAAUUUUAAAUUGGAGAGCUAAUAUAAUAGGCAUUGGCUAAACAAAUGUGUAAUCAGUUAAUAAAAACAUGAGUUACGAUUAAUCAACAUCAUUCACGUGCAGAUGAAGUCAAUACGAGGCUAUCACCGCUUGAAUAAAACGAAACGGACAACUAACGCAAGAGUUAUCGUUUAACUACUAAGUUGCGAACUUAUACGUAAAUAAAUAUAGAUCUUAGGGGUAGCAAAUAAUUUCUUCAUGACACAUAAAACACUAAAUUAAUUCCGAAAGGAGGGCAGGGGGUUUCUUUUGCAAAAAGGCUCUUCUUCUUCCUUUUCUCUAUGACCGAACACAGGAAAAUCUACGGCACGGCUGCGGCCAACGGCCAGGUAGCGCACGCGGGGCCUCGGCGUUCGCACGCAGGGGGGUGGCGGCUGCGCUCGGGGAGCUCGCCGGCGAGGACAGAGCUCAGCGAAACUACGGCGAGGACUCCGGGCGUGGCGAGACACGGCACGGCUCCCUGCUCGAUGGCGAGAAGGCGAAGGUGCCGGCGAUGGCGAGUGCACGGGCGCAUCACGCGUCGAGGCCGGGGCUGCGCUCGACGAGGCGGGCGACGGCGCGCGACGAGGUUCUGGGCACGGCGGGGGAAGAGAGAGAACGGGGAAGGAGAGAGAGGGUGGGGCGAGCUCACCUCGACGGCGAGAAACAGGCACCCUGCACGGCGACGGCGGCGCUCCGGUCGGCGGUUCGGCGUGGCGGAGAGCGCGACCGAGGCGAAGCAGUGGUGGGCGAGAACUGCGCAGGGAUCGCGAGCGGUUCGUUUUUCUUUUUGGAGGCGUCGUGGGCGGUCGUUUCUCUGAAAAAUCGCACGGUUGGUUUGGAGAAGAUGCACAGCGGGCGUCCUAGCGUGUGGGGCCGGUUGACAGCGGCGGCGGCGGGCGCUCCCUGCGCGGUCGCGGUUGCGUGCGCGCAACGCGCGCUGGCCACUGGGCCGCGGCGCUGGACGCAGUAGGCGCGCGCGCUAGGAACGCGGCGAGCGCGCUGGGCCGAGCGGCCGUCCGCGGGUGGGCUGGGAGCGCGGCGCUGGGCUGGGCGCAGGCGAGCGCGCGCGCUGGGAGCUGGGCCGCGACGCGCGCAGGCCCACGAGGGAGGGAGCUGGCGCGGGGCUAGCGUGGGGGGAAGAAAGAGAGGGGAAGGGGGGCGC